GCUACAAGAAUUAAAUCAACUUUAGAACAAGCACAAGAAAAGAAAGAGAGGCAAAAGCGUACAUGUAGUAGAUGUGGACAACUUGGGCAUUAUAGGACUAGCUGUACCGUUAACAAGCCCAGCGAAACUGACAAACAAGACUAACGAACAAAGUACAUGGAGAUGCACUUUGUAAGCAUAGUUUGGACCUGUAUGAAGUGACAAUGAACCAUACAAGGAAGAGGAAGAGGUCAACCAGGAAUAGGGGUUUUGCAUGAGGAAGUUGUGAUGAAGCUUCAGGAUUCCAAAAGUUGUUUUUGUGAUAUGAGAUGUUGUAUUAAGACUCUGUUAUGUGAUAGGAGAUAGUUUGCUUAGAUGAACUUCCUACAAAAACUAAAUUGAAGAGAUUUGACGAUU